rnacentral:rRNA from 1 species
GCGGCACAGCGAAAGCGUUAAGUAAUCCACCUGGGGAGUACGCCGGCAACGGUGAAACUCAAAGGAAUUGACGGGGGCCCGCACAAGCGGAGGAACAUGUGGUUUAAUUCGAUGAUACGCGAGGAACCUUACCCGGGUUUGAACGUAGGGAGACAGGGGUGGAAACAUCCUUUUCAGCAAUGACUGCCUACGAGGUGCUGCAUGGUUGUCGUCAGCUCGUGCCGUGAGGUGUCGGCUUAAGUGCCAUAACGAGCGCAACCCUUAUUUCCAGUUACUAACAGGUGAAGCUGAGGACUCUGGAGAGACUGCCAGCGUAAGCUGUGAGGAAGGUGGGGAUGACGUCAAAUCAGCACGGCCCUUACAUCCGGGGCGACACACGUGUUACAAUGGUAAGGACAAAGGGCAGCUACCGGGCGACCGGAUGCGAAUCUCUAAACCUUAUCUCAGUUCGGAUCGGAGUCUGCAACUCGACUCCGUGAAGCUGGAUUCGCUAGUAAUCGCGCAUCAGCCAUGGCGCGGUGAAUACGUUCCCGGGCCUUGUACACACCGCCCGUCAAGCCAUGGGAGCCGGGGGUACCUGAAGUUCGUAACCGCAAGGAUCGACCUAGGGUAAAACUGGUGACUGGGGCUAAGUCGUAACAAGGUAACCA